rnacentral:rRNA from 1 species
UGGGAAUAUUGCACAAUGGGGGAAACCCUGAUGCAGCGACGCCGCGUGAAGGAAGAAGUAUCUCGGUAUGUAAACUUCUAUCAGCAGGGAAGAUAGUGACGGUACCUGACUAAGAAGCCCCGGCUAACUACGUCGCC